CCCUGGGGGUGUGCAUAACCCGGGAACUGGGUAUAAUGCCCGAUAGAUCUGGAAGGCUGGAAUGCGUCCAGGUUCAAAGCUCCGGCGCCCAAGUAUGGGUCUGCGGCCUAUCAGGUUGUAGUGGGUGUAAUGUACCUACUAGCCUAAAACGGGUACGGGUUGUGAGAGCAAGAGCCCGGAGAUGGAUUCUGAGACACGAAUCCAGGCCCUACGGGGUGCAGCAGGCGCGAAACCUUUACAAUGCGGGCAACCGCGAUAAGGGGACCUCGAGUGCCGACAUCUAAUGUCGGCUGUCGUGAUGCCUAAAAAGCAUUAUAUAGCAAGGGCCGGGCAAGACCGGUGCCAGCCGCCGCGGUAACACCGGCGGCUCGAGUGGUGACCGCUAUUAUUGGGUUUAAAGGGUCUGUAGCCGGCCGGAUAAGUCUCUUGAGAAAUCUGGCCGCUUAACGGUCAGGCUUUCAGGAGAUACUGUCUGUCUCGAGGCCGGGAGAGGUGAGAGGUACUUCAGGGGUAGGGGUGAAAUCUUGUAAUCCUUGAAGGACCACCAGUGGCGAAGGCGUCUCACCAAAACGGACCUGACGGCAAGGGACGAAAGCUAGGGGCACGAACCGGAUUAGAUACCCGGGUAGUCCUAGCCGUAAACGAUACUCGCUAGGUGUCGGCCGCGGUGCGACCGUGGUCGGUGCCGUAGGGAAACCGUGAAGCGAGCCACCUGGGAAGUACGGCCGCAAGGCUGAAACUUAAAGGAAUUGGCGGGGGAGCAC
rnacentral:rRNA from 1 species